rnacentral:rRNA from 1 species
CAGCAGCCGCGGUAACACGGAGGGUGCGAGCGUUACUCGGAAUCACUGGGCGUAAAGGACGCGUAGGCGGAUUAUCAAGUCUCUUGUGAAAUCUAACGGCUUAACCGUUAAACUGCUUGGGAAACUGAUAAUCUAGAGUAAGGGAGAGGCAGAUGGAAUUCUUGGUGUAGGGGUAAAAUCCGUAGAGAUCAAGAAGAAUACCCAUUGCGAAAGCGAUCUGCUGGAACUUAACUGACGCUAAUGCGUGAAAGCGUGGGGAGCAAACAGGAUUAGAUACCCCCGUAGUCCCUGUCUCUUAUAA